rnacentral:rRNA from 1 species
AUUGAACGCUGGCGGCAUGCCUUACACAUGCAAGUCGAACGGCAGCGCGGGCUCCGGCCUGGCGGAGUGGGGAGAACGGGAGUAUAAUACCGCAACACGUGCGAAGGAGGGGGGGAUAGAGGGGCGAGCGCCGGAAAAAUACCGCACAAGCCAUGGGGGUAAGAGGGGGGGAUCCUGAGCCCGCGCGGUCGUGGCGGGGCCGAUGGCAGAUUAGCUAGUUGGUGGGGUAAAGGCUUACCAAGGCGACGAUCUGUAGCUGGUCUGAGAGGACGACCAGCCACACUGGGACUGAGACACGGCCCAGACUCCUACGGGAGGCAGCAGUGGGGAAUUUUGGACAAUGGGCGAAAGCCUGAUCCAGCCAUGCCGCGUGUGGGAUGAAGGCCUUCGGGUUGUAAAGCGCUUUUGUCGGGAACGAAAAGGAUUGUGCUAAUACCGCGGUUUGAUGACGGUACCCGAAGAAUAAGCACCGGCUAACUACGUG